GGGUCCGCAGUUCACCCAGGCGUCGCCGCCCCAUCCGGGGAGCUAAACCUGCCU
rfam:Devosia sp. Root413D1 contig_1, whole genome shotgun sequence.